GCCCGACCAUAAACCCCAGCCAAAAAAGUACGGGCCCCGCCUAAAACUUUAAGGACCUGGCGGUGCUCUACAUCACCCUAGAGGGGCCUGCCCUGUAACCGAUAACCCACGAAAAACCUUACCAUCUAUUGCCACCAGCCUAUAUACCGCCGUCUCCAGCACAUUUCACAAAAAAUGAAGCGAAAUAGCCCAGCACUAGUACGUCAGGUCGAGGUGUAGCCCAUGAGAUGGGUUGAGGUGGACCACAAUAUCAAACACACAAAAACCAUCCUGAAACGCAUGGUAAAAGACGAAUUUAGAAGUAAGUUGGACGAAUACCCAACUGAACACUACGCCCUAGAGCACGC
rnacentral:rRNA from 1 species